CUUUUUGACAUCUUCCUUCUUCACCGGCACCCCAUUCCUCUCUUCAUCGGCUAAACUUGGUGGACGUUCUGCCCCAAUCGUCACACCAAUCCUCAACACUUGCACAACCAACUUCUCAUUGCAAAACUGAUCUGCGAAAAAUGGCCAGGUGACCAUCGGCAAGCCAUUUGAAACCGCUUCUAGCACUGAAUUCCAGCCGCAAUGUGUUAAGAACCCUCCAAUUGCAGGGUGUGACAAUAUAACCACUUGAGGAGCCCAACCCCGGAUCAAAAGUCCUCUCCCUUCAAUCCUUUCCUCAAACUUUUCUGCCAAAAGCCAAUCCUCUAACCCUUUUGCUUGAUCUCCGGGUCUUAUAACCCAGAUGAAUGGCUUCUUUGUUGCUUCUAAGCCUAAACCAAGCUCUAUCAGCUGUGUGGUUGAAGAAUCACAAAGACUUCCAAGACAAACAUAGACUGCAGAGCCUGGUUGCCAUGAAUCAAGCCACUUUAAGCAACCAGAGCCAUCAUUGGAAGUCUUGUCACCUCUCUCAAGUUUAUCAAUGUCUUCCUUGUUGCACAAUGAAACAGGACCAACACACCAAACUUUUCCAUCUCUUGCAUUCUUGUAUUCUUCAACAUAAGCAGGCUCCAUCUCUUCAAAUGAAUUCACAAUGACCCCAUAGGAUGCCAUUUCAGCUGCCAAAAUUGGCUCACCAAAACUUUUCAGUUUCAGGAUUUCGGGUAGCUGAGCUUUAGUUAUUUCAACUCGAUCAGGCAAUCCAGGCACCAAAAAAUAUUCCGAAUCAGAAGAAACACUCUCAUGAGCCUUGGAAACACUCAAGCUGUGCAAACACAAAAGACAAAAGCAAGAAAAACCAUGGAAAACAAUCCUUGGAACAUUGAACUUGCAGGCAGAAGAAACUGUCCAAGGCAAACACACGUCGGAGAUUAAGCAGCUUGGCUUAGGUUGUAUCUCCUUGAACAAAGUUUCCAACGGCAAACGCAGCAUUUCAAUUGCAGCGAAGAACUUGGGGAGCAAGGCCAUCGAAGGAAGCUUGUCCCAACUCUCACAACCUUCAGGCAAUCCUACUUCUUGACAUGGAAAAUAAAACUCAAUGACUUGGAUACGUAACCCAGAUUGUAUCCCACGUUCUAUAACGUUUUGAAACCGGGCUGCAUUCAUUGGUGUGGUGACAAUGGUUACAAGUGCGCCAUGCUGUGCCAACAAUCUUGCAAUGUCUAUCAUGGGAAUCAUAUGGCCCUGAGCAAGAAAAGGAAAUAAGAUGAAGUGAAGCUGGCUACCAGCUUGGGAUGCCAUGGCAGAGUUUCUCUUCCCAGUGGGACUUUGCUCCUGCCUGUUGGUGAUGUUUAUAGAAUCAAUAAUGCCAGUUUUGGGAACUUAGAAUAAUGCAUUAUUAAAGAUGACUUAAGUGUGAGUGAUAAGGGUGGGGUGGUCCUGGUGGAGAUCGUCUUCACAUUGCUUCAGGAAAAUACUGUAUCUUUUUCUUCACAUGGCAGAGUUUUCUUUGUUUUCAACUCAAAAUUAGAAACAGACAGCUGCUAACGUAACCCCCACCACUUGAAGUGACAUUUGUCGAUUUCCAUAUAUAAAUUGAAACAAAUGUCCAUUUUCUAUGAUACUUCAUUGGUUAGUGGGAUUAAACGCCUUCCAGUCAUUUUGAGACGUAUUUCGCUGGAAGUGAAAGACCUCAUUCUUUUCUUUGCUGGACAGGUUGUUGUUUUUUGUUUGACGUCAAUCGUUUGGUUUAUUCGAGAGGCGAUAUUUUAAUUUUGAGAUGAAUGGGUCGUCUUCUUAUUUAAGUUUACGUUAGAGCUGUGUCGAGAACGGGGCUAUCACAGGUGGCAUCACGCGUCUAAAGACAUUUGUAACACCACAAACUUAACACGUGUAAGAAACGUGUCAAAUGGAAAGGCGACUAACUCAUUCACAAACUUUGGCACCAAACUCGUGCUCUGUAAUGAAAUUUCUCUUGAAAAUUCAAUUCAUUCUUGGGGUCUUAAAAUCAACAAACUACUAAAAAAAAUCCCUUGGAACGAAAUAAUCGAAGUCUUGAAACCAGAAAUUACAACUCAAAACCAAAAUAUAUUUACAUAAAAUUGGUAAUAUUCUACAUUGUAUUUUUCGUUCAUUCAUAUCACAGUCCAGAAUCAAAUUAUUUCGUGCAGCUAAAAUGGAUUUUCCGAAGGAAUAUAGAAAAAAAUUUUGAGCAGCAGGCAAAAGAAUGAAAUUUUGAGAGGGGUCAACAAUGAUGGCAUUCUGAAAAGUGAUUAUCAAGCUCUGAAAAUUAAAGAAGAGAACUAUAUCAAAGAUGAUCAACAUAAUCCAUCAUAUUUAAUAAAACUAGGAAAUUGAACUUGUGGAAUCCGAAUUAACAAUUAAAAUCAGAAACAAAUCACAGCAUCUAAAUGAAUUAAGGUUGUCUUUAGUACUAAAGUUGGAGAAGCUACAGCAUUAAUAUUCGAUAAAUAUUAGCUGUUAUUGCUUAAAAACUAAAUUGAUUUUUUAUCUCUCUUAUCUUGCGUAUGGACAUCACAUUUUUCAUUGCUCACCUUAUUUUGCUCGCUGCAUAAUAUCUUGGAUUAACAGUUUGAUGUUAAGGGAAGAAGAUCCCCCUUCUUCAAUUGCUCUCUUUGCCAUCUCCCCAUACUCUUUAGCCCUUCUUCUUCUCUCAUCUCCUUCUCCUCCUUCAUCCAUGAGCAUGUUAACAGCCUUUUCCACAGCUUCCUUCUUCACUUCAUCCGCUAAGUGUAGAGGGCGUUCCGCCCCAAUGCUCACACCAAUCCUCAACACUUGCACAACCAACUUCUCAUUGCAAAACUGAUCUGCGAAAAAUGGCCAGGUGACCAUCGGCAAGCCAUUUGAAACCGCUUCUAGCACUGAAUUCCAGCCGCAAUGUGUUAAGAACCCACCAACCGUAGGGUGUGACAAUAUCACUACUUGAGGAGCCCAACCCCGGAUCAAAAGUCCUCUCCCUUCAAUCCUUUCCU
rnacentral:lncRNA from 1 species